CUCCAAAGAUAUUUUCCCUCCUCUGCUUUCUUUCAUUUUUCUCUUAUUUGAAAACAACAUGUCUAUGUGUAGGUUUUUUUGUUUGUGGGGUGUUCUGGAUCUGUGAUUUGGCAUCUGAUAUUAAUUUGCGGAAAUAGUCAUUAUUGCUUCAAAUAUUUUUUUCUAUUCCUUUCCCUCUUUUCCUUCUUAUAUUCCCAUUAUGUGUAGGUUAUACAUUUUGCAGUUCUCUAUUCUUGGAUAUUCUAUCCUUUUUUGUUCACUGUACUUUCAAUUUUGGAGUUUUUAUUGAAAUAUUCUCGAUAAGAGAUUCUUUCCUUAGACAUGUUUAGUUUGCUAAAAGAACCCAUCAAAUACUUUCUUCAUUUUCUUAGAGUGUUUUUGAUCUCUAGCAUUUCUUUUGGCUCCUAUUUUGAAUUUCUAUCUCUCUGCUUACAUUGCCCAUCUCUUCUUGUAUGCUGCUUACUUUAUCCACUAGAACCCAUAGAGUAUUAAUCAUAGUUGUUUUAAAAAUCUCAGUCUGAUUAUUCCAACACCACUGCCAUAUACAAGAUUUGUUCUGAUGCUUACUUCAGAAGAAACCCCAAACCUCAGUGAGACAGGAAGCCUAGAGUGGGCUGGGGUUGAGUAUUUCAUUUCCCCCAAAUUAAUUAGGCUCUGUUAAAGCCCCAGCUGAUUACACUCUGGUUAACUCAUUUCUCUGAGACAAGUCUUGUUAAGAGCAGCAAGCUCUGACUUCAAAAUGGUUCCCAUUUCCUCUCUCCCUGCUGGAAGCUCAAGAGGGAUUUUUCUUCAGUAUUUUCUUUGAGGACUUGGUAGGACUCCUGGAGGUAAAAUGCACAAAAGUGUGCCCCACUCCCAAUGGCUGGGUCCUCUGGAGUUUUUAACUCUCAAACUGAGCCUCCAGUAAUUAGUCAGUGAUAACUUUAGCCUUUCCUGCUCUAGCCUUGGCGCCUGUGGACGUUUCAGCUCUUGGGGUUCUGUCCCUGACUUCUUCCUGAAGAUCCAGAAGUGGGACUUCUGGUUUUAUAUUUGUCAAUUGUCAACUCCCCAGAAGUCUACCAGAAAACCUAAUGAUAAAGCAAAGUGAAAUUUAUAUGACCUACUGCAAUAAAGAAGAACACGACAUUGUGAUAACCUUUGUACUGAAUAAAGAAGGGGAAAAUCAGUGGAAGAUUUGUAUAGGGCUUUUAAUUCUGGUUUUAAGUGGUUUAAGUCUGUUUGAGUGUUGCCAGUGUCCUGGGUCUUUCACUGGGUGCUGGAGAUCCACAGAUGAAUGAGGCAAAUGUGGCCCCUGUCAUCAUCAUGGAAGUUUCAUUAAAAGAAAAAUCAGUUUGGACUCACUGAGAAGAAUGGCCUCUUUAAGGAGACACACAUAAGCUGAAACAUGAAGGAUGAAGAAGAGCUGGGGGAGAAGUAUCCAUUUGGAGACUAGUAGGUUCAAGACCCCGGGAUUGCGCAGGACUUUGCAUUUUGGUUCAGUGCCAGGGACUCACUCUAUGAAGGGAAUCAUUUUGUAAUUGGAGUUUUCAGCCAUUAUCAUUUUUCUCCUGAUAAACCAUCUGUGACAUGGAGACCUUGGAGCUGGGAGUUGUGGCCACAAUGCUCAAUAGACUGUGCCUGCAGCUUUUUCAGAGGCCAGCUGCUGCUGCUGCUGCUGCUAAGUCGCUUCAGUCGUGUCCGACUCUGUGCGACCCCAUAGA